GGUUAUGAAGCAGAUGAGGAGGAGGAAGAGUCGAGGCCACAGGAGUAAUGUUACGCUGAUCUACAUGGAGUUUAAUAGGAUUGCUGGUAAGAACUUGAAAAGGGAAUUUUACGAGACCCUUGACCAACAUAGUACAUGCCUCUUGGACAUUUUCAGAGCCAGAAAGGGAGUUGCUGGUCAGCUCUUGAUGAACCUUCUGAAGCAACAAAGCUAUCAGAGCCAACUGAACUUUGGUGCUUCAAGGACUACCCCUUUGGUUUGGAGAUGACUCUCCUGCUUUCUGUAAGACGUGUUUGAUGGCCGAUGAUCACAGCUCAAUUAUUGAUGUGCCAGUGGGGAUUGUGAUACUGUAGUUGAAGAUGGGAUGACUCUUAAGCCCCUCAACUCUUUGCAUUCGUCUCCAUCUUUGAUUGGAAUAGUAAUCGGGGGAAAAUUAGUGAUGGACAAUCUACAUGACCUUCCUGUAGCAAUGUG